ACACUGACUCGCCGCCGCCGCCCGCCGUCAUGGACGCAGACCACUGGCCCGCGCUUGCCGACGCCGCCAAGACCAAGACCCUGCUCUCGACCUUCUUUGUUUGGGAUGUUGCACGACGAUAGGUGAGAGUACCAUCGCUGCUUGUCCCCAGAGAUGGUAGGUGAGAGUACCAUCGCUGCUUGAAGGUGCCCUAUUUUUUGCUUGGUGAUGUUCGCUCGGUUGCUUGGUGUUGUUCGCUCCUGCUCCUGCUGUCCUCCAGUCCUUCAAUCCAUCAAUUUUGACAGCACCGUCACCCCUGAGAUGUGCUACCAGCUCAAAGUCUGCAUUCGUUUUAGUUCCAGAUGGUGUGAUGCACACCUACAUCUCAAGUGAUUAAGUGAUUCGGUAUAUCUUUUAUGUUAUUCAAUUUAGAUUUCGCCCCAACUUUAAUUGCUUUGGGCAUAUCCAAACUAGUACAAGUUUAAUACCCAGGUUUUAAUUUAAAUUUCACAGGCUAAAAACAAUGUUAGUGCUUGCUGUUUAAAGCAACAACUCAUGCCUCAUGGGCAGUUGCGGCAUGGAGGGACACCCAAGCUCCAUAAUUCGGUCGCAUGGAGUUGGUCCGUUUUUCAUGCUUGCCGGCCACCCAAGCUCCAUCCACUCGGUGCCAUAGCCGGUCUGCUGCCAUCUUCUUAUAUUGGUGAAGUUACAGUUGCUCAUACUACCAGGUACAGUUAAUGUCAAGUAAGGUGGGUGAGAAAAAAGUCGGUGCAGGACAAUUGAAUUGGAGGUGUGAUCGCUGCAUUGGGAUCAAUGAUUACUUAAGAGACAAAGGUUUGAUUUAGUUGCGGCAAUGGCAAGAGCAUAUUGUGCUGAAGAUGAUGAACCUUAAUGCGUUGAACCUUGUAUACUAGAACCUUGCAGGUGUUUUUGCAGAAGUAUUUUGUUAUGCACAUGUAAAAUUAUUUUGAUGUGCCCUUGUUAGGCGUUCAACCUUAAUGCGUGGAGUCGGUGGAUGAUGUAUUGUAUUUGAUGUGAUAUGCUACUGAAAUGAACUAUACAUUUUAUUUACAAUCUUUUA